UCUCCUAUGAAAAUUAUAUGGAAAAGGGGUUUCAUUCGGUUGGUUCUUGUGGGCGGAAUUAUUUGGGGUCUGCUCAUUCUAACCGCAUUGUUAUUCCACGCUUGGUCUUGCCAGUCGUCUAUCGCAUUCUUUUCAGCCCUUUGUAACAAAAGCAGUGUAAUUUAUGGAGCAAUACAGAGCCUGGGACUUGUGACACCUCCACAUCGUUGUUCUAUUCCUGUAGCAGAUGACCCGAAUAAGAUUGUCAUUCCACAAAAGAGAUCCACCGAAAAAUUUGUGCAAUCACUGUCUUACUUCAUGGAGGACUUUACAGAAACCAAUGGGACUCGGUCACCACCUUUAUUUGGAGGACAUAUAACAUGGCAACAGAGAGAUGAGAGCUUUAAAGUGAAACCAACCAUGAAGGUGCACUGUGGAUUUAUACGAAAUGGUGGUGCAGAAAUGGCUCAGAAAGACGUCAAAUUUGUCGAGAAAUGUCGAUUUG
rnacentral:misc_RNA from 1 species